GGCGUUUUCCCAUUAUAGCGUGUAUAGGAGGAGGAGUCUGCCAGCUGUAGCUUGUUUGCAGACUCGGUGCGUUUUGCACUAAGCCAGUGCUUCUAUGGGUCAGGCUUAGUUCCAGUCUGAAUUAAAAUGAAUUAAUUAUAUUUUUUCCUCUUGUUUUCAAAAAGAGUUUCUUUGACGGACAGCUUGUGAGGAGACACAGCAGCAGGGAUAUUUGGUCAUGACCGUCUCCGUUUAACUCUGCGAUGGAGUCAAGUAUGAGACUUAUUGUUCUUCUGAUUGUGAUGAGAUUUUCUGCUUCUGAGGAAGUGAAGAAGAACCUGACGGGCACUGUGGGAGGAAACAUCACUCUACCUGACUCUGUGCAGGAGAAAGACGUAGGAUUUCUGUUAUAUGGAAGAACGAAUAUUGCUCAUGUGAUUAAGGGGGGAUUUGAAAUACACAAGGACAUUUACAUGAACAGACUUCAGUGGGACAGAAACUCUGGACUCUUUACACUCACAGAGCUGCAGAGGGACGACUCAGGGAUUUAUACUGUCGACUCUAAAACAGGAAAAGUUUUCACAUCAUCAUAUAAGCUCACAGUGUACGAUCCUGUACCAACACCUAACGUGACAAAGCUGAACUCCAGCUCUGAGAGCUGCUCCUUACUGUGUUGGGUGGACAGAGAGACCACACUGCUGUGGUUCAAAGACGAGCAGAUGCUGAACCAGAGCAGCUCUGCGCUCUCUCUGCCUCUCACUGUGCACAAACAGGACUUCAGCUCCUCUUACAGAUGUGUGGCUGCAAACCCUGCAGAGGAGAAAACUCUUCCUGUCCGUGUGAGAACCACCUGUGGAGACACAGACGACAACGACACCAACAGCUCGACUGAACCAAGAAACUAUAACAUCCUCAUUAUAAUCUUCUGUCUCCUGUUGGUUGUGAUGAUCAUACUUGCUACUUUCAUCAUCAAGUCAAAGUAUCUUUCCCGAAACAAAACGAAGACAAACGGACAGGCACAAGGCAGUCUCAUUGUGUCACGGGCUGCGACGGCAGACCGUGGAGUUGUAGAGAAAGUAGGGCCCAAACACGAGACUCUAGUGAAGGACGGUGGAUUUAUUUAUGGCUCCGCAGGCACACAGGAAGAGGUCCAAUAUAGUGAAAUACAAAUAAGCAACAACAGACAGGUUGGUGAUGUUUCACUGAGAAACUCUAUCAUUAGCAGCUCUGUCUCCAGGGCAGAUGUCAUCAUGUGUCUGUUAGCAAACAUGCUGUGUUUGUUCUCACCAGUUCCUGGAAACUCAAUGCAAAUAGCACCUGCAGCACACAAAGGCUCAGGUGUGCACAGGUCAUCUGCCAAUCAGAAGGCUGGUGGUUCAAUCCCUGAGUGUGUGUGUGUGUGUGUGUGUGUGUGUGUGUGUGUGUGUGUGUGUGUGUUCGGCUGGUGUAGCGUCUGCGUUGUUCGCCUGACAUGAACAUUUUGCAGAAAUCCUUCUUUUUCCAAGGAAAAUAAAACGAUAACCUUGAAGCUCAUUUCCUGCCAUUUAUCGAGUCAUGCUCAGUAGCCCUGUUUACAUCAGCAGGAUGGACUCUGAUAACAGGAACGCCCUGUUACAGGAACAGCAGUAUCUAUUUCAUCUCUUCCACUUUACUCUGUUAUCUGAUGCCUCUACUUUCUCCUCUCCAGGGGGAAAAUAUACCAGAGUCCUCAACAACGAUCUGCCACACCAACCUGACCACAGUAUACGAUAAGCUGGAGGCCCAUCGCAUGAUCACGGACAACCAUGCUGAAAAUACCUGAGACCACACGAGAAAUUCCCAACCGAGAGUUUCCAGAAAGAAAAUUUUCAGGUUAUUGUUUUUUUGACUGAAUUAGUUGCUUUCGUUUUAUUUACAUUAUUUCAUUUAUUUUACGAACUGCAUGUGCCUCUGUGUCAGCCUGUUAGAUUUCUGUUAUUGAGUCUCACAUUUCAGUUGAAUUCACAGCAAAGCUUGUUUUCACUUCCUGCAGCUAAUAAAAAGUCUGUGCAUGAAGGAAUUUGGGAAAUGAGUCAAUGAUUUAAAAACAACUAACACACUCAGCUCAGGUACAGCUGAACUGGUUUCAUAGUUAAAGCUGUCGACUGAAUGCAGCGAAGCAGCCACGAUGUCCAAACAUCGGCUUUGUGUGAAAGAGAUCAACCGAGUUCCACUUUUGAGUUACACAAUUUUGUACCACAAGACGUGCAGCGAGUCAGUCUUGUUUUCUCCAUCCAGUGUUAAAAUGAUCUUCCUUGUUCAGCCCAGACUGUGCAGGCUGGUGGUGGCAUCUCACCCGGACUGUUGGCUGAUACUUUUGGUGAUUUAUGUUCAGACUGGUUCCAAAAAACAUUUCAUCCUUCAUGUUUUCUGUCUUGUUCUCCCACUCUUGGUUUUCUGUGUCUGUGUGUUUCCUUGGAAAUAUCAUAACCUCAUUUUGUAAAUAAACCUGUUCAAACCUUUCCAUUGCUCAGCAUGUGGGUCCUUCCUUCUGCCUGCAGACUAGUGUUACCUGUUGCUUGUCAGGUGAUACUCCCUCUAACCCGGAUGCUCCCAUUGGUCCAGAGCCGUCCUCUGGUUCUCAGCAGCAGUGUGGACCAACAUCACCUGGAACCUCUGUUACAAAAAGACUUUUUUGUGUAAUGAUCAGUGUUGGGAAGGUUACUUUUAACAUGAAUUCCACUACAGAUUACAGAUUACAUGCCCCAAAAUGUAUUUUGUAAUGUAAUCCAUUACAUUACUCAAUGAGAGUAACGUAUUCUGAAUACUUUGGAUUACUUAAUAUAUUAUCAUCCUUUUUACAACUACAUGAAUGUGAUUUAUUACUAUUACUGAAGGUUACUCUCCACACCAACACCAGCUAGAUGUUUGAAUCUUAAUAUAAAUGAGUAACAGUAGGUGGACAUUAGGUAAGGCUGCACUUUUUGCUGUGAUCUCGUGUAGAAAACUAUUCCUCGCGUAUAUAAAACAGGUCCGCGGCUCUGAACCGUAGUAAAGGGACCUCUGGCUGAUACGUCGGGUUCAUGUCGGCUCGUAGCUGAAAACUAGCUUUGCUUUGUUGUCUGGGUCACUUUGCUAGCAGAGACAGAGAGAGGCGUUGAAAGGCUGCUGCAACAGAACUUAUUGUUUCAGAGGAAACAGGAACACAGUGUACAGUCGAGUCUUAACAGCUUACUCACAGCUGGGCUCGUCGGCUCUGUUUGGCUGCAGUGGUUAUUAUUAUAUUUACAUGCUUCAUACAUGCGAUGCCUGUAACACUCUGCCUAUUGCCUUCAUAUUAAAUCUUUUUUUGAAUAAUAAUUUUUUUAAAUAUUCCUUCGCGUCAUUAUGCGGCUGCAAGUAGAGGUGACAUGAGCCGUGACGUUCAGACACGGCAUUAGAGCCUCGCGUGUUUUGUUUGGGUUUCCACCGGCGUGGACUUACAGAAAAUAGAGAGGGGACAGCCGAACAUAUGAAACAGGAAAAUACCGCCGUGUAAUCCGUUUAUUUUGACAAAGUUACUGUAUUCUAAGUACCACCUUUUUAAACGGUAACUGUAACUGAAUACAGUUACUCAUAUUUUGUAUUUUAAAUAUGUAACGGCGGUACAUGUACUCCAUUACUUCCCAAGACUGGUAAUAACCAUAUUCAACAUUACAAGGACACUCAGCAGCAACCGGUCCAACCAGGUCGGGUCCAAGCAGCUCUGCAGCCGUCUUCUCAACAGCCAACUCUCUGCACCUCAUAUGUCCUCGCCAGCUGACUGUAAUACUGCUGAAUACUGAAAUGUCUGAUCUUAAUCAGAGAUCCGUCCAUCUGUCAAUCAGACCCUCUUUUCUGCUGACUCAGUUAAAGAAGCUUACACCUCACCUCUGGUAUCUGUUGGUCUCUCAGCUAUAGUAACUGCACUCGUGCACAAUCCAGGGAUUCAGCAGCUUUUGUCCUGCGUCCAGUUUGUUUGAAAUCCUGGUGGAAACGGUGGCUUCUGAUGUUCAUGCUCACCUCUCUGCCAAUAACCUUCAUGAACAAUAACAUGUGGUUUCCACCUCCUCACAGCAACAGCCUCGGUAAAUGUCCACACCCAGUUCAUUCUCUGAACUCACACCCAAGGAUCUGACCUGGAGUCUGUUCUGUUUAUUAUUUAUCUACUUCUUAUUGGUCAAAUCUUCCCCUUAAUAUCAGUUCAGCAUCAUUAUCAUUAUUAUCAUUAUUAAUUAAUUAAUAUUUGCUGGUUUUAUACGUUUUAAGCUUUGGUUUCUGUCCUGUGGAGCUAAACGUGAUCACUGAUGUUCAACAACAUUUAUUAGUUUAUAAAGUCCUAAUCCAUAACACACCCGUCCCUGUGUGAUGUCACUGUUACUUUAGUAGUGUGUGACAGCUAAUGUUUUUUCUUCUGCCCACAUAUUCUGUGAUAUUCUGCAAACGUGUAAUUAACAUGUAACUAAAGGCACAUUAAUCUGUCAUUUUUAACAAUGAAGUUAUUUAUAUUUGCAUGCCAAUAAAGACUGAACUUAUCAGAC
ensembl:lncRNA